AUCAUGGCUCAGAUUGAACGCUGGCGGCAUGCUUUACACAUGCAAGUCGAACGGUAACAGGUUAAGCUGACGAGUGGCGAACGGGUGAGUAAUGCAUCGGAACGUGCCCGGUCGUGGGGGAUAACGCAGCGAAAGCUGCGCUAAUACCGCAUACGAUCUGAGGAUGAAAGCGGGGGACCGUAAGGCCUCGCGCGAUCGGAGCGGCCGAUGUCAGAUUAGGUAGUUGGUGGGGUAAAGGCUCACCAAGCCGACGAUCUGUAGCUGGUCUGAGAGGACGACCAGCCACACUGGGACUGAGACACGGCCCAGACUCCUACGGGAGGCAGCAGUGGGGAAUUUUGGACAAUGGGCGCAAGCCUGAUCCAGCAAUGCCGCGUGCAGGAAGAAGGCCUUCGGGUUGUAAACUGCUUUUGUACGGAGCGAAAAGGCCCUCUCUAAUACAGGGGGUUCAUGACGGUACCGUAAGAAUAAGCACCGGCUAACUACGUG
rnacentral:rRNA from 1 species